GAUGAACGCUGGCGGCGUGCUUAACACAUGCAAGUCGAACGGGAAUUAUUUUAUUGAAACUUCGGUCGAUUUAAUUUAAUUCUAGUGGCGGACGGGUGAGUAACGCGUGGGUAACCUGCCUUAUACAGGGGGAUAACAGUCAGAAAUGGCUGCUAAUACCGCAUAAGCGCACCGAGCUGCAUGGCUCAGUGUGAAAAACUCCGGUGGUAUAAGAUGGACCCGCGUUGGAUUAGCUUGUUGGCAGGGUAACGGCCUACCAAGGCGACGAUCCAUAGCCGGCCUGAGAGGGUGAACGGCCACAUUGGGACUGAGACACGGCCCAGACUCCUACGGGAGGCAGCAGUGGGGAAUAUUGCACAAUGGGGGAAACCCUGAUGCAGCGACGCCGCGUGAAGGAAGAAGUAUCUCGGUAUGUAAACUUCUAUCAGCAGGGAAGAUAGUGACGGUACCUGACUAAGAAGCCCCGGCUAACUACGUG
rnacentral:rRNA from 1 species